rnacentral:rRNA from 1 species
ACGUAGGUGGCAAGCGUUGUCCGGAAUUACUGGGUGUAAAGGGAGCGUAGGCGGGGAUACAAGUUGAAUGUUAAAACUAUGGGCUCAACCCAUAGUUGCGUUCAAAACUGUAUUUCUUGAGUGAAGUAGAGGUAAGCGGAAUUCCUAGUGUAGCGGUGAAAUGCGUAAAUAUUAGGAGGAACACCAGUGGCGAAGGCGGCUUACUGGGCUUUAACUGACGCUGAGGCUCGAAAGCGUGGGUAGCAAACAG